rnacentral:misc_RNA from 1 species
AACUUUUAGCAAUGGAUCACUUGGCUCUCGCAUCGAUGAAGAACGCAGCGAAAUGCGAGAUGUAAUGUGAAUUGCAGAAUUCAGUGAAUCAUCGAAUCUUUGAACGCACCUUGCGCUCCUCGGUAUUCCGAGGAGCAUGCCUGUGUGAGUGGCAGUAAUAUAUAUAUCAAACUGCUCUUUUCUUGGUUGGUUGUGUGUGGGGGUUUGCCGGCCUCUUAAAGGGCUUCAGCUCUCUUGAAAUGGUUUAGCGGAACAACCUUGUUCAUUGGUGUAAAAACUUUCUGUGCUAUUGAAUGUGAAGGGCAGUUCAGCUUUCUAACAGUACUUGGAAAAAUUUGUCAUUAAUGUAACCUGAAAGUAGGUAGGACUACCCGCUGAACUUAAGCAUAUCAAUAAGCGGAGGCU